GACGAACGCUGGCGGCGUGCUUAACACAUGCAAGUCGAACGGAAAGGCCCUGCUUUUGUGGGGUGCUCGAGUGGCGAACGGGUGAGUAACACGUGAGUAACCUGCCCUUGACUUUGGGAUAACUUCAGGAAACUGGGGCUAAUACCUGAUAGGAGCUCCUGCUGCAUGGUGGGGGUUGGAAAGUUUCGGCGGUUGGGGAUGGACUCGCGGCUUAUCAGCUUGUUGGUGGGGUAGUGGCUUACCAAGGCUUUGACGGGUAGCCGGCCUGAGAGGGUGACCGGCCACAUUGGGACUGAGAUACGGCCCAGACUCCUACGGGAGGCAGCAGUGGGGAAUAUUGCACAAUGGGCGGAAGCCUGAUGCAGCAACGCCGCGUGCGGGAUGACGGCCUUCGGGUUGUAAACCGCUUCCGCCUGUGACGAAGCGUGAGUGACGGUAAUGGGUAAAGAAGCACCGGCUAACUACGUG
rnacentral:rRNA from 1 species